CAACGCGCGGAGUAAAUGUUCUUGUAGUGUGUAUGAAACUAUCGGCUUUGCGUAGUAAAACAUGCUGUAAAUAAUCAUUUUUGACAUUGAUUUAACGGGAAUUAAAUAAAUCUCUGAAGUUGAUGGUGAUUACAAUUUCGACGACGAUUAUCGAUUUGGAUUCGAAGACUCUCAUAUGUUUCAAAGAUACGGUUGAAUUGGUUGGGUUGAAUUGCCAUUGUACGGUUACGUUAAUGGCGGAUUCGAUGGAUAUCCAAUGAUCGGCUACGGUGGCAACUACGGUUUUGGAAAGUACGGAUACCCGAUAUACAGAGGGUUCGGAAGCAAAAGGGGCGUUGGAUACUUUUGAUUAAAUGAUAAUUCUUGCUCACCUCUGUCGACCGUGUUAAACCGGAAUUCUAAAAAACCUAUUGCUUGGUUUCUUAAACUGUGUAUCAAUCUUUGUGAAAAUAAACAUGCGC